GCCUCCAUGGCACAAUGGUACUGCAUCCGCCUUGAGAGCGGAGCCCUAUGGGCUUCCAGGUUCGAUUCCUGGUGGGGGCG
rnacentral:tRNA from 1 species